GUGCUCGCUUCAGCAGCACGUAUGCUAAAAUUGGAACAAUACAAAGAAGAUGAGCACAGCCCCUGCUCAAUGGUGACUCAUAAAUUUGUGAAGCAUUCCAUUUUUUU